rnacentral:rRNA from 2 species
UCAGGAUGAACGCUGGCGGCGUGCUUAACACAUGCAAGUCGAACGAGCCUUCGGGCUAGUGGCGGACGGGUGAGUAACGCGUGGGAAUCUGCCCUCAGGAGGGGGAUAACGGCCGGAAACGGCCGCUAAUACCCCAUAUGCCGAGAGGUGAAAUGAAUUUCGCCUGAGGAUGAGCCCGCGUCUGAUUAGCUAGUUGGUGGGGUAAUGGCCCACCAAGGCGACGAUCAGUAGCUGGUCUGAGAGGAUGAUCAGCCACACUGGGACUGAGACACGGCCCAGACUCCUACGGGAGGCAGCAGUGGGGAAUUUUCCGCAAUGGGCGAAAGCCUGACGGAGCAACGCCGCGUGAGGGAUGAAGGCCUCUGGGCUGUAAACCUCUUUUCUCAAGGAAGAAGACAUGACGGUACUUGAGGAAUAAGCCACGGCUAAUUCCGUGCCAGCAGCCGCGGUAAUACGGGAGUGGCAAGCGUUAUCCGGAAUUAUUGGGCGUAAAGCGUCCGCAGGCGGCCUUGUAAGUCUGUCGUUAAAGCGUGGAGCUUAACUCCAUUUCAGCGAUGGAAACUACAAGGCUUGAGUGUGGUAGGGGCAGAGGGAAUUCCCGGUGUAGCGGUGAAAUGCGUAGAUAUCGGGAAGAACACCAGUGGCGAAGGCGCUCUGCUGGGCCAUAACUGACGCUCAUGGACGAAAGCCAGGGGAGCGAAAGGGAUUAGAUACCCCUGUAGUCCUGGCCGUAAACGAUGAACACUAGGUGUCGGGGGAAUCGACCCCCUCGGUGUCGUAGCUAACGCGUUAAGUGUUCCGCCUGGGGAGUACGCACGCAAGUGUGAAACUCAAAGGAAUUGACGGGGGCCCGCACAAGCGGUGGAGUAUGUGGUUUAAUUCGAUGCAACGCGAAGAACCUUACCAGGGUUUGACAUCCUGCGAAUCCCUUGGAAACGAGGGAGUGCCUUCGGGAGCGCAGAGACAGGUGGUGCAUGGCUGUCGUCAGCUCGUGUCGUGAGAUGUUGGGUUAAGUCCCGCAACGAGCGCAACCCACGUCUUUAGUUGCCAGCAUUCAGUUGGGCACUCUAGAGAGACCGCCGGUGAUAAACCGGAGGAAGGUGUGGAUGACGUCAAGUCAUCAUGCCCCUUACAUCCUGGGCUACACACGUACUACAAUGCUACGGACAAAGGGUUGCAAGCUCGCGAGAGUUAGCUAAUCCCAUAAACCGUGGCUCAGUUCAGAUCGUAGGCUGCAACUCGCCUACGUGAAGGAGGAAUCGCUAGUAAUCGCAGGUCAGCAUACUGCGGUGAAUACGUUCCCGGGCCUUGUACACACCGCCCGUCACACCAUGGAAGUUGGCCAUGCCCGAAGUCGUUACUCCAACCCUUGUGGAGGAGGACGCCGAAGGUGGGGCUGAUGACUGGGGUGAAGUCGUAACAAGGUAGCCGUACCGGAAGGUGCGGCUGGAUCACCUCCUAA